UUUGUUUUUAACCCAUCACGGGACCAACUGUUGUCAUUCCGCUUUGCUCUCUGCUGUGGAACCUGACUGACAUCUGUGCUUUGCCUGUGUGCAGAAGAAGAACAAGGACCAGAUCUCCAGUCUUCUCUCUCACAUCCCAACCCCCCAACCCCUCUAUCCUCUGUCCUGCUCCACCUGUUGUCUCUGCCUUCUUUCCAUCUGUAUUUCACCCUGUGGUUUGUGCGAAAUUGUGCCAAACCAAGAAUCUUAUUGCGGUUUGAUUUCAAAGCCGUGUCUCUCCUGCUCUGCCUGUUCUCUCUGCUAAAUUUUCUCUCUACCUGUUUUUCACUCUUGGCUUGCUGCUGAAAAACGCCAAGCCAAUAAAACAAUAAAGAGUGCAUAUUUUGCCUCAACCU